UAGGAUCCUUUAGAACCGACGACGUGUCAACAUAUUGUUGGCUAUAUUUUUUGACAAAAGAAAAAAAAAUUUUUACCCUAUCUCCUUCUCAUCUCUCUCGUCUUCUUUCCGAGGACAAACUGUUUUGAAGCGGAGGAGAAAGUCUGAGUAGGAAAUGGUUCUGAAGUUUCUGAACGAGAAAUCUGUGAACAAGGGUGAUGCUUCUGUUGUUGUUAAGUUGUAGAGCGCUAUCAAAUUCAAUGGCAAAGGUCAUUUGAACCACUCUUAUCAAGCUGAAGGUGCUGCUGUGCAAGGAUCAGGAUGGGUGUGGCUCGGUCUAGACAAAGAACUGAAGAAGCUUGUGGUUGACACAACUGCCAAUCAAUUGUACCACCACCGAGUACUGGUAAGUCUGAAUGUUGCUGUGAUGUCCGGUUUCCGUUUGGUUUGGUGUCCUUUGGAAAGAAUUGAUCAUCGAGGACAUGAGUGGUCUUGAUCACUUGUGUUUUGGGGAUUUGCUGGCCUUAGCCAACACUGCAUCACUCUGUUUCUCCGGUCAGAUCCCAAAACCUACAAGUAAGAGAGGACUUUUGAUUCUGAUUGAAUUAGAAAUGAAAUUGCUUAGUCAAAUAUGAAAGAUGGACUGAGAGAUAGCUACUUGUCUCUGGUUAUGUAUUUUAAUAUUGGCACAAAUCAAUAUUAAAAUUAAUCAUUUAGUAAUCUA